UAGAUUGAAGCCAGAUGUUUAGGGUGUUUAGCUGUUAACUAACGUUUCGUGGGUUAGAUUCCCAUCAGUCUAG
rnacentral:tRNA from 2 species